AUUAAUCGCUAACAGAAAAAUCGCUAACAUAAAAAAGAAACAUCCUUUUAAGAAUAUGUUUUUAUUGCUAUUUUCAUUUUUUUUUUUUGUAAUGCAAGGGAUUUUUAACAAUUAAUAAACGAAACUAAGGUAAAUAUCAGUUUCGCUUUAUAAUAUAAAUAGCUCAUAUUAACGUUUAAUCUUUAAACAAAUGCUGCGUAUCCAGUAAAUGAUAUCUAUCAAAUUAGUUCUAAAGAGAAAUUUAAAAGAUAUGCCAUCGCUUUACACUGUUGCUUCUGAACUUGUUAAACUAGGUGAUCAAGUGCAAAACCAAUACAUCCGCUCACAACCAAAUCAAAGUUUGGAAAAAUAUAAAACAACUGACUCAAAUGGAAAACUGACUUUAAAUCGAAAUCAAUAAUUUUUUCUCUACGAAUUAUGUUUUCAUUUUCGAUAUGCUAAUUUAAGGUAUACAAAGAAGAAGCAGAUUGAAACUUUUGCGAAAUCAAAACUUUGUUUUUUUUCAGCGAAAAAAUAUAAAAAGAAAUCAUAUACAAAAUAUGUAAAGUAAAAAUCAGCAAGAAUGCAUGAUGUUUAUGAGAUGAUUGACAAAAAAGUAUGAUGUUUUUUUAAAAGGAAGUUAAUAACAAAAAGUUGACACUUCUAAUACUGCAUAUUGUAAUCUUUUAAAAUGUUUUAGAAAAAUAAAAAAUUUUAAAGUUUA